CAACAUUUCUUAAGGUGCUAGCAUGUUUUCCCUUUGCUGAAGACUGGGACUAUUUCCAUCAACUGAGGCACGAAGAACCUAACUUUCCUGGCUUUCAGUGGG